GUAAGAUCGCAAUCACUCGGGAGCUGCACCUCACCAAGUGAACAACUGUUCUGAAUCUCAAUUGAUGCACGUAAGAGUGAGAUCUCAUGGAAUAAAACCAAACAACAGUUGGCACAAAUGUGGUUCUUGCUUGGUUAUUAUAAUGUCGGAACGUUCCAUUACAAGGAGUUUCUGUUCUCUCCCCACUGCUACUACCACCAGAAAAAGAUACAUCAGCACAAAGUAUCAACAUUGGGCGAUUAACAGAAAAUUUGUCAUCACAAUUCUUCGAUGCUAUUAGUUUUGGUAACACUUGAACGAAAGAAACAGGGCCGUCAUGCCGGGAAACCAAGUUGUACACAUUAUCACCAUCUUCAACAUCCCAAACCUGGAAGCCAUAACGACACCCCAGGAGCAAAAUUUGUCUAGUUGUGCCUCCCUCACAUUCCAACUUGUCAAACCCAGCCCAGAGAACCUGAUCAUGGGUUGACUCGUUAUCCCUCUCCGCAAUAGCCGAAGCAGCUGAUUUAACUGUGGAAGCAACAGUCGAAGCACCAGAUGACACAAUCUUAGAUAAAGCUCGAAAUGAAGACGGAAAAACACCAUUUUUGCUCCUUCCUAACGCAACAUUCCCGCCUUCAAGAGGUGGUUUCUGCUCAUCAUUCCUCAUUUUCUGAUUCUUAAAACUCCUAUUCUCUACUCUUCUGAUCAUAACCUUAGCUUUAUCCAGCCCUAUAUAUAUCACCGUUCUUGAUAACCCCUAGGUAGUAGAAAACGUUAUAUCUCACACCUGUCCAUACCUUUUAAUUCCAACAUCGCAAAAAUCCAAAACCCAACGCUGCAUAAAACACACCGCUUCUUCUCCUUCCAAAUCACAACAGAAUAGCAAAACAGUAAUUGAACCCCAAAUCUGUCUUCUUCCAAAACUUCAAACUAUCAACACAACUACCAAACCCCACAAGUAAAAAUCCAAACU
rnacentral:misc_RNA from 1 species